rnacentral:rRNA from 1 species
CCAGCAGCCGCGGUAAUUCCAGCUCCAAUAGCGUAUAUUAAAGUUGUUGCAGUUAAAAAGCUCGUAGUUGGAUUUCUGGUUCGAAUGUUCGGUCCGCUUGUAACUUGUUUUACGAGUGCGUACUAUGAAUGUUUGGGCCAUUUUUUGUGAGGAAAUUUACCUGUCAUUAAGUUGAUGGGUUUAUAGACUUGCAUCGUUUACUGUGAAAAAAUUAGAGUGUUUAAAGCAGGCGUUCGCUUCUUGAAUACAUUAGCAUGGAAUAAUAAGAUACGACUUUGGUGGUCUAUUUUGUUGGUUUGCACGCCAGAGUAAUGAUUAAUAGGGACAGUUGGGGGUAUUCAUAU